CACAAUGCUAUAUAUUUCUUUCGAUUUUCCACAGCCUUACAGCUCUAAACAGGCUGACUUAAACACGCAGCUAAGUUCACGAAAUCAAACUUGAAGAAUUAUGUUGAUUUGCCUUAAAAAAAUCCCCACCUCUGAGGAAGUGCGUCAACGGAAAUUUUGCAGCGCACGCAAUGCGACUGCUAUUGGCUAUAGUAAAUCACUUUAAAAAUUAGCAUAAUCCGCCCUGUGUACACUUGAUUUCGUCUUAUGGUUUUUUUAUGGCGCGGAAAACCCUUUCGUUGGAAUUUGUUAUUCAAAUGGCAGAAACGCACACACAAAACAACGGAAGGAAGGAAGCAGCAGUAAAAUGUAUUGAUCAAUUAGGCAGAAAUGUUGUGCAUUGAAAGGAUGUUUUGUAAACUCCGGACCGUUGAAGAUUACAGGGCAUUAGGGGCAUUUGUUAAUCGUUCGAGCUCACUGCCCUCACAGUAAAUUAAUUCUAAAUUACAUAUGCUGUGUAACUCCAUGUUAAUUUAUUUUAAAAUAACUACUAAAGCUCAACGUCCAUUGAAGACAGAAAUGCAUUCAUAAAUAAUUCGUUGCCUGGGAGAUGCAGUAAGUCCGAUGCAACCACAAAAGCAAGGAAGUGAGGAAGUUUCUCCCGUUUUAUUCUGUCCAAGAUUACAGCUCAAAAUCGGAGCAAAAGCCCAGGAACGAGGGAAUGCCACCCGUUUGCUGAUUGAUGAUAUGCCGGCAAAAGUUGCCAGGCAAAUAAUUCAACAAAAGUUGAGCGGGCAGGCAUUGGUCUUGGGAUCGCUCUGCAGUUUAUGAAAACGUUAAAUAAAAGACAAAACGAGAUGAAGCCCCGGUACGCACACACGCACGACAGCUUGCAAUUUGUGUUGCACAAGUUCUGGCCCGAUUUGGCCGGUCCGUUUUGGCCUGGUCUGUACGUGCUUACGGGCAGCUCGGAAAAGCUUAUUCAAAUGAAAGGCAAACAGAGCGACAACGGAGCAACAAUUGAAAUCAUUUAACAUUUGCAGAAACCAAAUACUCCUGGCCACGUUCUGCGAUUCCCACUCGAUGCAGUUGCACUUUAGCCCUUUUCGGGUUCAAAAUCCCACGAAACUGGAGGGGAAAUCGUUUGGGGGAAUGUGCUCGAGCCAAAUUGAAUGUUAACCCACAGACAUGUCAACCUUAGUUGGAAAUAAAUAUUCGCAUUCUGAAAACGAUUGAGUUUUUGGCCAGGAAAGAUAUCCUUUCCGGACACGUGCAAUCACAUAUGCUUCAAAGAAAAAUACGCAAUUUUCUGAAUAUGUUGCGAAAGGCAAAGGCAGCCGCAGCAGUUAUGCCAGCAAGACCAACAAUAAGGAAGCCGGCAAUCGCACUCGGCCUUAUGGCCAAGGAAAGUUUUUCAGCCAACCAAGUUGGCAGGCUGAGGACGGGGCCAACUGCCGACUAUAAUCGCAGUAAGUUACUUACUGACUGACUGACUGCGGCCUCGGGACUUUUGAAAUAUGUAAAGGGGAGGAGGCCCAGAUUAAGCGAUGGGAGUUAUCGAUCACUCCGUGGGAAUUAUUUUUUAUAGACCCAGUGUCGCACACUCAAUACGCGAACUAUCUAUCGUGAUCUAUGA
rnacentral:sRNA from 1 species